rnacentral:rRNA from 1 species
AAGUCGACCAGCAGCGCAGCCUGAUCCAGCCAUGCCGCGUGAGUGAUGAAGGCCUUCGGGUUGUAAACCGCUUUUGGACGGGACGAAAAGGGCCGGGCUAAUACCUCGGGGUCAUGACGGUACCGUAAGAAUAAGCACCGGCUAACUACGUGCCAGCAGCCGCGGUAAUACGUAGGGUGCAAGCGUUAAUCGGAAUUACUGGGCGUAAAGCGUGCGCAGGCGGUGAUGUAAGACAGAUGUGAAAUCCCCGGGCUCAACCUGGGAACUGCAUUUGUGACUGCAUCGCUGGAGUGCGGCAGAGGGGGAUGGAAUUCCGCGUGUAGCAGUGAAAUGCGUAGAUAUGCGGAGGAACACCGAUGGCGAAGGCAAUCCCCUGGGCCUGCACUGACGCUCAUGCACGAAAGCGUGGGGAGCAAACAGGAUUAGAUACCCUGGUAGUCCACGCCCUAAACGAUGUCAACUGGUUGUUGGGUCUUCACUGACUCAGUAACGAAGCUAACGCGUGAAGUUGACCGCCUGGGGAGUACAAGCCGCAAGGUUGAAACUCAAUGAAUUUUUUCGGGGG